rnacentral:rRNA from 1 species
GACGAACGCUGGCGGCGUGCUUAACACAUGCCAGUCGAACGGAAAGGCCCUGCUUUUGUUGGGUUCUCGAGUGGCGAACGGGUGAGUAACACGUGAGUAACCUGCCCUUGACUUUGGGAUAACUUCAGGAAACUGGGGCUCAUACCGGAUAGGAGCUCCUGCUGCAUGUUGGUCGUUGGAAAGUUUCGGCGGUUGGGGAUCGACUCGCGGCUUAUCAGCUUGUUGGUGGGGUAGUGGCUUACCAAGGCUUUGACGGGUAGCCGGCCUGGGAGGGUGACCGGCGACAAUGGGACUGAGAGACGGCCCAGACGCCUACGGGAGGCAGCAGGGGGGAGUAUUGCAGAAUGGGGGGAAGCCUGAUGCAGCAACGCCGCGUGCGGGAUGACGGGCUUUGGGUUGUAAACCGAUUUCGCCGGUGACGAAGCGUGAGUGACGGUAAUGGGUAAAGAAGCAACGGCUAACUACGUG